GACGAAGGGGGCUAGCGUUGUUCGGAAUUACUGGGCGUAAAGCGCGUGUAGGCGGUCCGGUAAGUCCGCUGUGAAAGUCGGGGGCUCAACCCUCGGAUGCCGGUGGAUACUGUCGGGCUUGAGUACGGAAGAGGCGAGUGGAAUUCCUGGUGUAGCGGUGAAAUGCGCAGAUAUCAGGAGGAACACCAAUUGCGAAGGCAGCUCGCUGGGACGUUACUGACGCUGAGACGCGAAAGCGUGGGGAGCAAACAGG
rnacentral:rRNA from 1 species